rnacentral:misc_RNA from 1 species
CGACGUCCACUCUCACAUCCCUKUUCAUUCUUGGUCCAAGAGCGAUAUGCCUUGGAUGAAUUCGGUUGCCUGUGUUGUAUACCUACGUUGAUGGAAUUCGCUCGUCCAAUCACCCCUUAUUCACCUUGUGCUGCUUACGCGGUGCAGGAUGAACCAUGCAGUGUCCUUUGUUGGGCAUUCUUGCCUUGCGUUCGUGCGAUGCAGGAAAUGGCCAAUGUCUGACACUCGAAUUCUCGGAUACGGAACCUUAAGCGGGCAACGGGUCAUUGGCCUUGAUUUGCCCAAACUAAGUUCUUACGAACGACUGUCGUGCCCGUUUUGACCUGAGGAUGCUUUUGGUCCGACUGGCUCAUGCGGUGCAGA